UUCGUUGUAGUGUAGUCGGUUAGGACAUUUGGCUCUCACCUGAAAGACCCGGGUUCGAUUCCCGGCAGUGGAA
rfam:Ipomoea nil DNA, scaffold: scaffold2159, cultivar: Tokyo-kokei standard.